CAGAGUGAUCCAAGUCCCUGUUGGAGUCAGUCAGAGCAUUUCCAUAGAGAGCCACUUUGCAUCAGCAGCACCAUGCUCCAGUGCUCUGGGAGAGUUUAUAGUCCUGAGAGUUGAAGACUGGAUGACUGACAGCUGUCCUUCAUGACAACAGAAGACACAGAAAUCCUCCUCAUCAGAAACAUGACUUUGGUCUCCGUCCUCAUCUGGACUCUCCUCUGCUGCUGCUUCACAGAGUCCAGAGGACAGGUCACAGUGACUCAGUCUGGAGCAGUGAGCUCUGCUCUGGGAGCCUCCGUCACCAUCAACUGUGGGAUCAGUCGUCAGGUUGACGUAGAUUGUGGCCCGUCUUCAUCACAAUACCCCUGUCUAUUCUGGUACCAACAAGAGGAUGGAAAACGUCCUAAACUGCUUUUGUAUGGGGUUAAUCAACGAGCAUCUGGAAUUCCAGGUCGAUUUACAGGCAGUGGAUCAACGACUGACUUCACUCUGACCAUCAGUAGAGUCCAGGCUGAAGAUUCAGGAGUUUACUACUGUCAGAGUUAUCACUGGUUGAACAGUCAGAAUGUGUUCACACAGUGAAAAAGCGUCGUACAA